rnacentral:rRNA from 1 species
AAGUAACAGAGAGUUCGAUCCUGGCUCAGAUUGAACGCUGGCGGGAUCAACUUUUGCAUGCAGUCGAACGGCAGCACGGACUUCGGUCUGGUGGCGAGUGGCGAACGGGUGAGUAAUGUAUCGGAACGUGCCUAGUAGCGGGGGAUAACUACGCGAAAGCGUAGCUAAUACCACAUACGCCCUUCGAGGGGAAAGCGGGGACCUUCGGGCCUCGCCUGCUUAGAGCGGCCGAUAUCGGAUUAGCUAGUUGGUGGGGUAACGGCUCACCAAGGCGACGAUCCGUAGCUGGUCGCAGGGGAAGGACGACCAGCCACACUGGGACUGAAGUACGGCCCAGACUCCUACGGGAGGCAGCAGUGGGGAAUUUUGGACAAUGGGGAAACCACAGUCCAGCCAUCCCGCGUGUGCGAUGAGGCCUUCGGGUUGUAAAGCACUUUUGGCAGGAAAGAAACGGCACGGGAUAAUACCCCGUGCGACGCUGACGACACCUGCAGAAUAAGCACCGGCUAACUACGUGCCAGCAGCCGCGGUAAUACGUAGAGGUGCAAGCGUUAAUCGGAAUUACUGGGCGUAAAGCGUGCGCAGGCGGUUCGGAAAGAAAGAUGUGAAAUCCCAGAGCUUAACUUUGGAACUGCAUUUUUAACUACCGAGCUAGAGUGUGUCAGAGGGAGGUGGAAUUCCGCGUGUAGCAGUGAAAUGCGUAGAUAUGCGGAGGAACACCGAUGGCGAAGGCAGCCUCCUGGGAUAACACUGACGCUCAUGCACGAAAGCGUGGGGAGCAAACAGGAUUAGAUACCCUGGUAGUCCCACGCCCUAAACGAUGUCAACUAGCUGUUGGGGCCUUCGGGCCUUGGUAGCGCAGCUAACGCGUGAAGUUGACCGCCUGGGAGUACGGUCGCAAGAUUAAAACUCAAAGGAAUUGACGGGGACCCGCACAAGCGGUGGAUGAUGUGGAUUAAUUCGAUGCAACGCGAAAGAACCUUACCUACCCUUGACAUGUCUGGAAUCCCGAAGAGAUUUGGGAGUGCUCGCAAGAGAACCGGAACACAGGUGCUGCAUGGCUGUUGUCAUUCAGCGCGCUGGUGAAGGUGUUGGUUACAAAUUCACGGCAGGCCUGUUGCGCGAUAUUCAGUUGCUGAAGGGCGCUCAAUGCUGGACUUUGCCGGUGACAAACCGGAGGAAGGUGGGGGACGUCAAGUCCUCAUGGCCCUUAUGGGUAGGGCUUCGUCAUACAAUGGUCGGGACAGAGGGUCGCCAACCCGCGAGGAGCCGUCAGAAACCCGAUCGUAGUCCGGAUCGCAGUCUGCAACUCGACUGCGUGAAGUCGGAGAGAUCACGCUAGUAAUCGCGGAUCAGCAUGUCGCGGUGAAUACGUUCCCGGGUCUUGUACACACCGCCCGUCACACCAUGGGAGUGGGUUUUACCAGAAGUAGUUAGCCCUAACCGUAAGGAGGGCGAUUACCACGGUAGGAUUCAUGACUGGGGUGAAGUCGUAACCAAGGUAG